rnacentral:rRNA from 2 species
CUAGUUUCGGUGGAGGCGUUGGUGGGAUACUACCCUCGCUGUAUGACCACUCUAACCCGCACCACUAAUCGUGGUGGGAGACAGUGUCAGGUGGGCAGUUUGACUGGGGCGGUCGCCUCCUAAAAAGUAACGGAGGCGCCCAAAGGUUCCCUCAGAAUGGUUGGAAAUCAUUCGCAGAGUGUAAAGGCACAAGGGAGCUUGACUGCGAGACAGACAGGUCGAGCAGGGACGAAAGUCGGGCUUAGUGAUCCGGUGGUACCGUAUGGAAGGGCCAUCGCUCAACGGAUAAAAGCUACCCUGGGGAUAACAGGCUUAUCUCCCCCAAGAGUCCACAUCGACGGGGAGG